GGUUUCGUGGUGUAGUUGGUUAUGACGUCAGUCUAAAACACUGAAGAUCUCCGGUUCAAGUCCGGGCAAAGCCA
rfam:Ipomoea nil DNA, scaffold: scaffold1570, cultivar: Tokyo-kokei standard.